ensembl:lncRNA
ACCAGUGUGAACAACCAGCAUUUUUAUUGCAUUUGAGAAUGCGCUCAUGUCAGUAAUUACUACUGACUACACAACUUUUUUUUUUUUUAUUGUCUGUAUCCACAGACAUGGAAUGAUGGAAUUACAGUUGAUGUCAAGGAAUGAGAUUCUUUUAUGCCUUAUCAAAACAAAACAAAACAAUCCCUGUUAGUGGCAUCACAGAUACAGAGAGCACCACACUCACAACCCAGACCGCACCACCUCUACCCAGGCUCCUGGGUAGCAGGGACCGCUUUGAGUUACACUGGACCCACAAGACGCCAUUAGAAUUGUCCAUUUGCUUCUCAGGAUAAUAGAGUAAAACCGAGUUGUAAACCACUUCCAGACUGUCAGGAGGGUAUGGCACUGACCAACAGGUACGGAAAAGAUUUAAUUAGCAGAGUUUGCUUUUUGCCCUGGGAGACAGAGAGCUCAGCUAGAAUGUGGAAAGGAGGAGAGACUUUUCGAUUCAAUGUUGUAACUGAAGAAAAUAAAGGAGCUAGUGAUUUAUAUUGUGUUUUUGGCUCUAUUAUUUUCUUUUCUUUUCUUUUCUUUUCUUUUAAACCAAGGCUUUAUUAUGGCUGAAGAUGCUAAGAAUAUGAAGUCAACUAUCUUCUGAUGUGGGGAAGGGACUGGCAGCUGGGUCGCCAUGCACGCAAGCCUAGACAGUUCACCCUUUGAUGGCCCUAAGCCUUCUCACAUGGAUAGACCCUAAGAACAUGGAGGUGGGUCCUCAUCAUGACUGUGUCUGACACAUAGGUCCAAUCUCCCUCAUGUUUGCUUAGAUUUGCUAAGAAAAGAAAGAAAAGAGUAACAAAAUUGUCUUUACACCUUGGGACCUUGUAAAAAAACUUUUAUACAAAGAGUUCCAUAUUUGCAACACUUCCCAUUAUUAAUCACUACUUUACUGAUAAAACUUUUAAAGUGUGAGCCUGGAAUUUCAUCAUGCAAAAAUAUUGACUGCGGCAAGAGAGAACAUUUUUUUUAAACAUUUUUUUUUCUCUUUUCAAACUUAGGAACUUGUUUAAGAUAGUCAAGGAGGCAGUGGUGUGAUAAACACAAGAAAUAGGAAUGUAUCAAAAACGGAGUAACACCCACACUCACUCACUCUCUCUCUCUCUCUCUCUCUCUCUCUCUCUCUCCCCACUCCACGAACCUGUACAAAGUACAAAAUGUUCCAAAUAAUGAGGGUAGGAAAAGAAACAAAUUAUGUCAACUAUGUUACAAUUUAAAAGCAAGGGGGUUGGGGGAGGGAGGGAAGGAGGGAGGGAGAGAGAGAGAGAGGGAGAGAGAAGUGUGGAGUUUUUUCCUUCUUCCCAUAUAUCAACAUGUCAUCCAGCGUUUGUAAAUCAGGGGCAGGGAAAUAAAGCACAUGUUCAGCACUGACUGCAAACCCAUUACAUACAGUAGAUUUGCCCCCAAAGAUACUAUUUUCUUUUCCUUUUUUUUCUUUAAAAAAAAGUAUCAUUAAUAAAAUGCAGUUGCACAAAAAGCAAAGAUGUUUUGACAAACAGGUGUAUGCAUUUAUUCCUUUUUAGGAACAAUACCUAAAAAAUAAAAUAAUUAAAACAAAACAAAACAAAAAAAAACCCCUCCCCUCAGCCCUCCCCCGCAAAAAGACAAAGACCCACACAGACACAUCGGGAUAUAUGUACAACCGAAGCAACCCCAUUCUAGAGAAGCGACCACAAUCCCCCCGAGGGACAGAAUCAGAACUGUAAAAGUCAGAGUGAAGAUUGCUUGCUGUAAAGCCUGAGACUUUUUCUUUUUUUUUUUUUUUCAGUUGGUUCUUCUUCGAGGCUAUGACACCUGCAAAGAUACAUAAAACCUAAUUCUUCUUUUUUAUUUAUUCUCUGCUACAGUCUUUAGACUAAGCAUGCAAGACAUACGACUAAGUGUGACUGAGUGAAAGGUAUAUUUUUAAUUUUUUUUUUACUCAUUCCCUAAAGGUUUGAACUGAGGUAUGCGUACUAACAGUCCUCAUGCGCUAUCUUUACUCGUGUCUAGCUACACAUGCUGAGAAUGAACUAAUCUACCAGAUUUUUAUCCUCUUUUGAAUAUCUAACCAGCAACCACUCAGUUUAGAAGCACAGGGCCCCCUUCCAAUGACCCUGCCUGGCUACUGCCUGCACAUCAUGAAGCUGCCUGGAAAAGAGGGGGGACAGGGCGGGGCAUGAAUAACCACAGACUGCCCCUCUAUAAAAGCACAGCAAACCUUCAGGAGUAAUUGCCAAAGAUGUUCUAGUCUAAGCUUACGAGUGGAUGGGAAUGCCACCUUUUUCUUGUGUGUGGAAAUGAAAAACACUGACCAAAUCAUAAUUUGAGAGGGGGGGAAAAACAACAACAAAAAAAAAAAAAAAAAAAAAA